rnacentral:rRNA from 1 species
AUUGAACGCUGGCGGCAUGCCUUACACAUGCAAGUCGAACGGCAGCACGGGUGCUUGCACCUGGUGGCGAGUGGCGAACGGGUGAGUAAUAUAUCGGAACGUACCUUAUUGUGGGGGAUAACGCAGCGAAAGCUGUGCUAAUACCGCAUAAUCCCUAAGGGGGAAAGCGGGGGACCGUAAGGCCUCGCGCAAUUAGAGCGGCCGAUACCUGAUUAGCUAGUUGGUGAGGGAAAGGCUCACCAAGGCAACGAUCAGUAGCUGGUCUGAGAGGACGAUCAGCCACACUGGGACUGAGACACGGCCCAGACUCCCACGGGAGGCAGCAGUGGGGAAUUUUGGACAAUGGGGGCAACCCUGAUCCAGCAAUGCCGCGUGAGUGAAGAAGGCCUUCGGGUUGUAAAGCUCUUUUGUCAGGGAAGAAACAGCAGCUCUAACACAGUAUGCGAAUGACGGUACCUGAAGAAUAAGCACCGGCUAACUACGUGCCAGCCGCCGCGGUAA